rnacentral:misc_RNA from 1 species
GAUGAAGAACGUAGCGAAAUGCGAUAAUUAAUGUGAAUUGCAGAAUUUAGUGAAUCAUCGAAUCUUUGAACGCACAUUGCGCCCCUUGGUAUUCCGGGGGGCAUGCCUGUUCGAGCGUCAUUUCAACCCUCAAGCUCUGCUUGGUCUUGGGCCGCGCCGGCAACGGCGGGCCUCAAAAACAGUGGCGGCGCCAUCUGGUCCCUCAGCGUAGUAAUUCUUCUCGCUGCUGGGCCCCGGUGGCCGCUGGCCAGCAACCCCAAACUUUCUAUGGUUGACCUCGGAUCAGGUAGGGAUACCCGCUGAACUUAAGCAUAUCAAUAAGCGGAGGA